rnacentral:hammerhead_ribozyme from 1 species
GCAUUGUUGACGAGUGCCAAAUAAGAUGAAACGGCCGUCCAGUGC